rnacentral:rRNA from 1 species
AAUUGGAGGGCAAGUCUGGUGCCAGCAGCCGCGGUAAUUCCAGCUCCAAUAGCGUAUAUUAAAGUUGUUGCAGUUAAAAAGCUCGUAGUUGAAUUUCGGGAUUGACACAUCGGUCGUGCCUUAAGGGGUAUGAACUGGUGUAGUCAAUUUCUCACCUUCUGGAGAACCGCGAUGCCCUUAAUUGGGUGUCACGGGGAACCAGGACCUUUACUUUGAAAAAAUUAGAGUGUUUAAAGCAGGCAUUUUGCUUGAAUACAUUAGCAUGGAAUAAUAAAAUAGGACGGCAUGAUUCUAUUUUGUUGGUUUCUAGGAUCACCGUAAUGAUUAAUAGGGAUAGUUGGGGGCAUUAGUAUUCAAUUGUCAGAGGUGAAAUUCUUGGAUUUAUUGAAGACUAACUACUGCGAAAGCAUUUGCCAAGGAUGUUUUCAUUAAUCAAGAACGAAAGUUAGGGGGUCGAAGACGAUCAGAUACCGUCGUAGUCUUAACCAUAAACUAUGCCGACUAGGAAUCAGACGAUGUUAAUUUUUUAAUGACUCGUUUGGCACCUUACGGGAAACCAAAGUGU